AUGCACCCAGGCCUCACCACCUGCCCGCCGGCCAGGGACACCAUCAGGAAGAUGCAGAUGCUAAAGCUGGACAAGAAGAACGCCAUCGACCACCCGGAGCGGGCGGAAGCCAACAAGCAGCAAGCCGAGGACCACUGCAAGCAGCUGGAGGGGCAGCGGAAAAAGCUGAAGAGGACAGAGGCGAAAAGUAUUCUCAAUCCGUGAAGGAGGCCCAGGAGAAACUGGAGCGGGCCGAGAAGGCCACCGACGCUGAGGCGGAUAUGGCCUCCCUUAACCGCCACAUUCAACAGGAAGAGGAGGAGCCGGACCGGGCCCAGGAGCGCUGUCUACAGCCCUGCAAAAGCUAGAGGAGACCGAGGAGAAGGCAGCCGAUGAGAGUGAGAGAGGAAUGAAGGUCAUAAAAACCCGGCCAUGAAAGGCAAGGAACAGAUGGAGUCGGAGGAGGUGCAGCUGAAGGAGGCCAAGCUCAUCGCUGAGGAUUCAGACGGCAAAUACAAGGAAGUGGCCGGGAAACCGCUGAUCCUGGAGGGAGACCUGGAGCGCUCAGAAGAGAGAGCUGAGGUGGCCGAGAGCCGAGCCAGGCAGUUGGAGGAGAAACUUGAAACCAUGGACCAGACCCUCAAGUCCCUGAUGGCCUCAGAGGAGGAGUAUUCCACCAAAGAAGAUACAUAUGAAGAGGAGAUGAAACUGCUGGAGGAGAGAAGCUGAAGGAGGCUGAGACCAGAGCAGAGUUUGUCGAAAGGUCUGUGGCAAAGUUGGAGAAAACUACCGAUGACCUAGAAGAGACGUUGGCCAGUGCCGAGGAGGAGAACGUGGAGAUUCAUCAGAUCUUGGUACAGACCCUGCUGGAACUCAGCAACCUGUGA